rnacentral:lncRNA from 1 species
UAGAACUUAAGUUGACUCUUGUUGAUAUUGUUGUUUACUUGUGUACACUGAUAUGAUAAAGGCAGUUUUUUUUUCUUUUUUUAACCAGUUAGCCAAAAAGAUAACUCUGAAAUAAUACCAUCCCUUGUUUGAAACCCCAUUGAGCAUAUUAUCUUUUUUUUUGUUUAAAACUCAUUACAAACCGAGAAGUGAAAAACAAUGUUAUCACCAUAUUUAAAGGGUUGAAAGAGUCUUGUUUGAAGUUGUGUGGGGGUUG